rnacentral:rRNA from 1 species
AGAGUUUGAUCAUGGCUCAGAGCGAACGCUGGCGGCAGGCCUAAUACAUGCAAGUCGAACGGCUCUUCGGAGCAGUGGCGGACGGGUGAGUAACGCGUGGGAACGUGCCCUUUGGUACGGAACAACUGAGGGAAACUUCAGCUAAUACCGUAUGUGCCCUUCGGGGGAAAGAUUUAUCGCCAUUGGAGCGGCCCGCGUUGGAUUAGGUAGUUGGUGGGGUAAAGGCCCACCAAGCCUACGAUCCAUAGCUGGUCUGAGAGGAUGAUCAGCCACACUGGGACUGAGACACGGCCCAGACUCCUACGGGAGGCAGCAGUAGGGAAUCUUGCGCAAUGGGCGAAAGCCUGACGCAGCCAUGCCGCGUGUAUGAUGAAGGUCUUAGGAUUGUAAAAUACUUUCACCGGGGAAGAUAAUGACGGUACCCGGAGAAGAAGCCCCGGCUAACUUCGUGCCAGCAGCCGCGGUAAUACGAAGGGGGCUAGCGUUGCUCGGAAUUACUGGGCAAAGGGCGCGUAGGCGGAUAUCUAAGUCGGGGGUGAAAGCCCAGGGCUCAACCCUGGAACAGCCUUCGAUACUGGGUAUCUUGAGUACGGGAGAGGUGUGUGGAACUCCGAGUGUAGAGGUGAAAUUCGUAGAUAUUCGGAAGAACACCAGUGGCGAAGGCGACCACUGGCCCGUUUACUGACGCUGAGGCGCGAAAGCGUGGGGAGCAAACAGGAUUAGAUACCCUAGUAGUCC